GGGUUGUGAGGUUAAGCGACUAAGCGUACACGGUGGAUGCCCUGGCAGUCAGAGGCGAUGAAGGACGUGCUAAUCUGCGAAAAGCGUCGGUAAGGUGAUAUGAACCGUUACAGCCGGCGAUGUCCGAAUGGGGAAACCCAGUGCAAUUCGUUGCACUAUCGUUUGAUGAAUACAUAGUCAAACGAGGCGAACCGGGGGAACUGAAACAUCUAAGUACCCCGAGGAAAAGAAAUCAACCGAGAUUCCCCCAGUAGCGGCGAGCGAACGGGGAGCAGCCCGGAGUCUGAAUCAGCUUGUGUGUUAGUGGAAGCGUCUGGAAAGUCGCAGGGUACAGGGUGAUACUCCCGUACACUAAAACACACAGGUUGUGAACUCGAAGAGUAGGGCGGGACACGUGGUAUCCUGUCUGAAUAUGGGGGGACCAUCCUCCAAGGCUAAAUACUCCUGACUGACCGAUAGUGAACCAGUACCGUGAGGGAAAGGCGAAAAGAAC
rnacentral:rRNA from 1 species